rnacentral:rRNA from 1 species
GACGAACGCUGGCGGCGUGCUUAACACAUGCAAGUCGAACGGAAAGGCCCUGCUUUUGUGGGGUGCUCGAGUGGCGAACGGGUGAGUAACACGUGAGUAACCUGCCCUUGACUUUGGGAUAACUUCAGGAAACUGGGGCUAAUACCGGAUAGGAGCUCCUGCUGCAUGGUGGGGGUUGGAAAGUUUCGGCGGUUGGGGAUGGACUCGCGGCUUAUCAGCUUGUUGGUGGGGUAGUGGCUUACCAAGGCUUUGACGGGUAGCCGGCCUGAGAGGGUGACCGGCCACAUUGGGACUGAGAUACGGCCCAGACUCCUACGGGAGGCAGCAGUGGGGAAUAUUGCACAAUGGGCGGAAGCCUGAUGCAGCAACGCCGCGUGCGGGAUGACGGCCUUCGGGUUGUAAACCGCUUUCGCCCGUGACGAAGCGUGAGUGACGGUAAUGGGUAAAGAAGCACCGGCUAACUACGUGCCAGCAGCCGCGGUGAUACGUAGGGUGCGAGCGUUGUCCGGAUUUAUUGGGCGUAAAGGGCUCGUAGGUGGUUGAUCGCGUCGGAAGUGUAAUCUUGGGGCUUAACCCUGAGCGUGCUUUCGAUACGGGUUGACUUGAGGAAGGUAGGGGAGAAUGGAAUUCCUGGUGGAGCGGUGGAAUGCGCAGAUAUCAGGAGGAACACCAGUGGCGAAGGCGGUUCUCUGGGCCUUUCCUGACGCUGAGGAGCGAAAGCGUGGGGAGCGAACAGGCUUAGAUACCCUGGUAGUCCACGCUGUAAACGGUGGGUACUAGGUGUGGGGUCCAUUCCACGGGUUCCGUGCCGUAGCUAACGCUUUAAGUACCCCGCCUGGGGAGUACGGCCGCAAGGCUAAAACUCAAAGGAAUUGACGGGGCCCCGCACAAGCGGCGGAGCAUGCGGAUUAAUUCGAUGCAACGCGUAGAACCUUACCUGGGUUUGACAUGGAUCGGGAGUGCUCAGAGAUGGGUGUGCCUCUUUUGGGGUCGGUUCACAGGUGGUGCAUGGCUGUCGUCAGCUCGUGUCGUGAGAUGUUGGGUUAAGUCCCGCAACGAGCGCAACCCUUGUUCACUGUUGCCAGCACGUUAUGGUGGGGACUCAGUGGAGACCGCCGGGGUCAACUCGGAGGAAGGUGGGGAUGACGUCAAGUCAUCAUGCCCCUUAUGUCCAGGGCUUCACGCAUGCUACAAUGGCUGGUACAGAGAGUGGCGAGCCUGUGAGGGUGAGCGAAUCUCGGAAAGCCGGUCUCAGUUCGGAUUGGGGUCUGCAACUCGACCUCAUGAAGUCGGAGUCGCUAGUAAUCGCAGAUCAGCAACGCUGCGGUGAAUACGUUCCCGGG